rnacentral:rRNA from 1 species
UAAUACGAAGGUUGCAAGCGUUGUUCGGAAUCACUGGGCUUAAAGCGUAUGUAGGCGGACCAGAAAGUAGUUUGUGAAAUCCCCCGGCUUAACCGGGGAAUUGCUUGCUAAACUACUGGUCUUGAGGCAAAUAGGGGUGCAUGGAACUCUUGGUGGAGCGGUGGAAUGCGUAGAUAUCAAGAGGAACGCCAGCGGCGAAAGCGGUGCACUGGAUUUGUCCUGACGCUCAGAUACGAAAGCGUGGGGAGCAAACGGG